rnacentral:rRNA from 1 species
GACGAACGCUGGCGGCGUGCCUAAUACAUGCAAGUAGAACGCUGAAGGAGGAGCUUGCUUCUCUGGAUGAGUUGCGAACGGGUGAGUAACGCGUAGGUAACCUGCCUGUUAGCGGGGGAUAACUAUUGGAAACGAUAGCUAAUACCGCAUAAUAUUAGAUGUUGCAUGACAUUUGCUUAAAAGGUGCAAUUGCAUCACUACCAGAUGGACCUGCGUUGUAUUAGCUAGUUGGUGGGGUAACGGCUCACCAAAGCGACGAUACAUAGCCGGCCUGAGAGGGUGAUCGGCCACACUGGGACUGAGACACGGCCCAGACUCCUACGGGAGGCAGCAGUAGGGAAUCUUCGGCAAUGGACGGAAGUCUGACCGAGCAACGCCGCGUGAGUGAAGAAGGUUUUCGGAUCGUAAAGCUCUGUUGUAAGAGAAGAACGAGUGUGAGAGUGGAAAGUUCACACUGUGACGGUAUCUUACCAGAAAGGGACGGCUAACUACGUG